CGGCAUCCUUAAGCUAUGGAAGUCGAGCGGGGUGUAGUUUGAGUCUUCGGACGAUUUCUAUUCCCAGCGGCGAACGGGUGAGUAACACGUGAAUAACCUACCCCGUGGACCGGGAUAACAGCCCGAAAGGACUGCUAAUACCGGAUACGAAACACAUCGCAUGAUGUGUUUGGAAAGGAUCCAAACCACCACGGGAGGGGUUCGCGGCCUAUCAGCUAGUUGGUGAGGUAACGGCCCACCAAGGCGACGACGGGUAGCCGACCUGAGAGGGUGACCGGCCACACUGGAACUGAGACACGGUCCAGACUCCUACGGGAGGCAGCAGUGGG
rnacentral:sRNA from 1 species